GUUAAAAAGCUCGUAGUUGGAUUUCUGCAUGGAAGGGCCAGUCCGCCCACUGGGUAGGUACUGUUUCCUUUUGUGCAUCUUCCUGAGGAUUCGUACUUCACUUUAAUGUGAGGGCGUAGGACUCAGGACUUUUACUUUGAGGAAAUGAGAGUGUUUCAAGCAGGCAAUUGCCUUGAAUACGUUAGCAUGGAAUAAUAGCAUCGGACCAUCGUCUAGCUGUUGGUGUCUAGGCGAAGGUAAAGGUGAAUAGGGAUUGUUGGGGGCAUUCGUAUUUAACUGUCAGAGGUGAAAUUCUUGGAUUUGUUGAAGACGGACUACUGCGAAAGCAUCUGCCAAAGAUGUUCUCAUUGAUCAAGAACGAAAGUUAGGUGAUCGAAGACGAUCAGAUACCGUCCUAGUCUUAACCAUAAACUAUGCCGACUGGAGAUAGGAAGUCUACAUACUACGUGUCUUUCUGCAUCUUGAGAGAAAUCAAAGUCUUUGGGUUCCGGGGGGAGUAUGGUCGCAAGGCUGAAACUUAAAGGAAUUGACGGAAGGGCACCACCAGGAGUGGAGCCUGCGGCUUAAUUUGACUCAACACGGGGAAACUUACCAGGUCCGGACAUGGGUAGGAUUGAC
rnacentral:rRNA from 1 species